UUUAGUUGUUUUUCAUGUAGCGGUGUGGUUGAAAGCCUGAGAUCCAAGCUUUUCCUAUACAGGACUGAAUUUGAUUCUUUCUUCUUCCGCUGUUAAGCUCUGGACUAAUGUUACUAAACCGCGUCCCAAUAUUUCCGAGAGUUCUCCCCCUUCUAAUUGGCUUAAGUGGAAUAUUGAUGGUUUUUUGAGGUCUAGACCUGAUAUUUGGAGCUCGGUCAGUGGGAUCAUUGUUGAAUCAGACUCUACGAUUGCUGUUUCAUGGGUUCACUCUUUGGAUUUAGUGCCAUGGCGCCUAUGUUCUGUUUCUAAUUCUAUUGCUACCUGUUUGAGUCUGUUUCCAGUUGUUUCUUUUAAUCAUAUUCGUCGCGAAGCAAAUGGGGUACUGACUCUCUAGCGAAGCAAGGUAUUAGAUGCACAAAUGAUUUAAUUGCCUGGUUGUAAUGCGUUUGAUUAGCUCUUGUCGGAUGCUUCUGCCCUUUAUUUCUGAUGUGGUUGAACUGGUUUGGGUGUUUGUUUUGCUGGUUUUGGGAAUGAUGUCACUAUGCUUAGUUUGAUGACAAGAAUCUCGUUUUAUUAGGUGUGCUUCUUCUUUUACAGUGGGAGAAUUUUGUAUAAGCAAGUUUGCACUGCUGUUUUGGAUUUGAA